rnacentral:rRNA from 1 species
UGGGGAAUUUUGGACAAUGGGCGCAAGCCUGAUCCAGCCAUUCCGCGUGAGUGAAGAAGGCCUUCGGGUUGUAAAGCUCUUUCGCAAGGGAAGAAAACUUACCUUCUAAUAAAGGGUGAGGCUGACGGUACCUUGAUAAGAAGCACCGGCUAACUACGUGCCAGCAGCCGCGGUAAUACGUAGGGUGCGAGCGUUAAUCGGAAUUACUGGGCGUAAAGCGUGCGCAGGCGGUUUGGCAAGUCAGAUGUGAAAUCCCCGAGCUCAACUUGGGAACUGCGUUUGAAACUGCCAGACUAGAAUAUGUCAGAGGGGGGUAGAAUUCCACGUGUAGCAGUGAAAUGCGUAGAGAUGUGGAGGAAUACCAAUGGCGAAGGCAGCCCCCUGGGAUAAUAUUGACGCUCAUGCACGAAAGCGUGGGGAGCAAACAGGAUUAGAUACCCUGGUAGUCCACGCCCUAAACGAUGUCUACUAGUUGUUGGUGGAGUAAAAUCCAUGAGUAACGCAGCUAACGCGUGAAGUAGACCGCCUGGGGAGUACGGUCGCAAGAUUA